UCGGUUUUGAUGAAAGUAGACUUAAUGGCGGAACGUCUGGCUUGCGUACUGAUAUUAAAUUAUUAUAAUUAUUCUAAUAACAUCUGCGUUCAAUAUAAUUGCGUCUGAAUAUCACGUAAAUGGAUUUUACACGGCUGUUUGACCUCAUAUUAACAGAGCAAAUGCAAAUAUAUCUCACUUACAUAAGAUGGACGGCUGGUAAGUGACAAGGUUUUGUUUGAUACUGUAGUCCCAAUAACAAAAACACCAAGCAGCGUCCAAUGGCCAUAAAUUCCGAUACAUUACAUUAAAUUUAUGAGAAUAAUGAAGCAAUAUACAAAUACUUUUGAAUUACAAAUAUAAUAAACCAAUUAAAAAUAAAUUUAAUCAAUUAAAGUGUGUCUGAGUUACGAUUGUAUACGCGA